rnacentral:rRNA from 1 species
AGAGUUUGAUCCUGGCUCAGGAUGAACGCUGGCGGCGUGCCUAAUACAUGCAAGUCGAGCGAACAGACGAGGAGCUUGCUCCUCUGACGUUAGCGGCGGACGGGUGAGUAACACGUGGAUAACCUACCUAUAAGACUGGGAUAACUUCGGGAAACCGGAGCUAAUACCGGAUAAUAUAUUGAACCGCAUGGUUCAAUAGUGAAAGACGGUUUUGCUGUCACUUAUAGAUGGAUCCGCGCCGCAUUAGCUAGUUGGUAAGGUAACGGCUUACCAAGGCAACGAUGCGUAGCCGACCUGAGAGGGUGAUCGGCCACACUGGAACUGAGACACGGUCCAGACUCCUACGGGAGGCAGCAGUAGGGAAUCUUCCGCAAUGGGCGAAAGCCUGACGGAGCAACGCCGCGUGAGUGAUGAAGGUCUUCGGAUCGUAAAACUCUGUUAUUAGGGAAGAACAAAUGUGUAAGUAACUAUGCACGUCUUGACGGUACCUAAUCAGAAAGCCACGGCUAACUACGUGCCAGCAGCCGCGGUAAUACGUAGGUGGCAAGCGUUAUCCGGAAUCAUUGGGCGUAAAGGGUGCGUAGGUGGCGUACUAAGUCUGUAGUAAAAGGCAAUGGCUCAACCAUUGUAAGCUAUGGAAACUGGUAUGCUGGAGUGCAGAAGAGGGCGAUGGAAUUCCAUGUGUAGCGGUAAAAUGCGUAGAUAUAUGGAGGAACACCAGUGGCGAAGGCGGUCGCCUGGUCUGUAACUGACACUGAGGCACGAAAGCGUGGGGAGCAAAUAGGAUUAGAUACCCUAGUAGUCCACGCCGUAAACGAUGAGAACUAAGUGUUGGAGGAAUUCAGUGCUGCAGUUAACGCAAUAAGUUCUCCGCCUGGGGAGUAUGCACGCAAGUGUGAAACUCAAAGGAAUUGACGGGGGCCCGCACAAGCGGUGGAGUAUGUGGUUUAA